rnacentral:rRNA from 1 species
AUUGAACGCUGGCGGCAGGCCUAACACAUGCAAGUCGAGCGAGCGGCGGACGGGUGAGUAAUGUCUGGGAAACUGCCUGAUGGAGGGGGAUAACUACUGGAAACGGUAGCUAAUACCGCAUACCAUCAGAUGUGCCCAGAUGGGAUUAGCUAGUGGGUGGGGUAACGGCUCACCUAGGCGACGAUCCCUAGCUGGUCUGAGAGGAUGACCGGCCCAACUGGAACGAGGACACGGUCCAGACUCCAAGGGGGGUAAGCGGGGGGGAAUAUUCGACAAUGGGCGCAAGCCUGAUGCGGCCAUGCCUCGUGUAGAAAGAAGGCCUUCGGGUUGUAAAGUACUUUCAGCGGGGAGGCGUUACCCGAAGAAAAAGCAACGGCUAACUCCGUGCCAGCCGCCGCGGUAAUAC